CAACUUGAGAGUUUGAUCCUGGCUCAGAACGAACGCUGGCGGCAGGCCUAACACAUGCAAGUCGAGCGCU
rnacentral:rRNA from 1 species